GACGAACGCUGGCGGCGUGCUUAACACAUGCAAGUCGAACGGAAAGGCCCUGCUUUUGUCGGGUGCUCGAGUGGCGAACGGGUGAGUAACACGUGAGUAACCUGCCCUUGACUUUGGGAUAACUUCAGGAAACUGGGGCUAAUACCGGAUAGGAGCUCCUGCUGCAUGGUGGGGGUUGGAAAGUUUCGGCGGUUGGGGAUGGACUCGCGGCUUAUCAGCUUGUUGGUGGGGUAGUGGCUUACCAAGGCUUUGAUGGGUAGCCGGCCUGAGAGGGUGGACGGCCACAUGGGGACUGAGAGACGGCCCAGACGCCUACGGGAGGCAGCAGUGGGGAAUAUUGCACAAUGGGCGGAAGCCUGAUGCAGCAACGCCGCGUGCGGGAUGAAGGCCUUCGGGUUGUAAACCGCUUUCGCCUGUGACGAAGCGUGAGUGACGGUAAUGGGUAAAGAAGCACCGGCUAACUACGUG
rnacentral:rRNA from 1 species